rnacentral:rRNA from 1 species
AGUGAACGCUGGCGGUAGGCCUAACACAUGCAAGUCGAACGGCAGCACAGUAAGGGCUUGCUCUUACGGGUGGCGAGUGGCGGACGGGUGAGGAAUACAUCGGAAUCUACUUUUUCGUGGGGGAUAACGUAGGGAAACUUACGCUAAUACCGCAUACGACCUACGGGUGAAAGCAGGGGAUCUUCGGACCUUGCGCGAUUGAAUGAGCCGAUGUCGGAUUAGCUAGUUGGCGGGGUAAAGGCCCACCAAGGCGACGAUCCGUAGCUGGUCUGAGAGGAUGAUCAGCCACACUGGAACUGAGACACGGUCCAGACUCCUACGGGAGGCAGCAGUGGGGAAUAUUGGACAAUGGGCGCAAGCCUGAUCCAGCCAUACCGCGUGGGUGAAGAAGGCCUUCGGGUUGUAAAGCCCUUUUGUUGGGAAAGAAAAGCAGCAGGUUAAUACCCGGCUGUUCUGACGGUACCCAAAGAAUAAGCACCGGCUAACUUCGUG